rnacentral:sRNA from 12 species
GGCCUAACCUGAGUAGAGCGAAAGCUCGAAAGGCAUGGCUGUAAAGACGAACAAAGCACAUAACCCCGUCGUUAGGAUUGCUUUGUUCGCCAUAGCUGGAAACGGCUAUGGGACUUCGGUCC